GAUGAAUGCUGGCGGCGCGCCUAACACAUGCAAGUCGAGCGGUAACAUGGACUUCGGUCUGAUGACGAGCGGCGGACGGCUGAGUAACGCGUGGGAACAUGCCCCAAAGUGAGGAAUAACUGCCCGAAAGGGUGGCUAAUGCCGCAUAUGAUCUUCGGAUUAAAGGAUUUAUCCGCUUUUGGAGUGGCCUGCGUACGAUUAGGUAGUUGGUGAGGUAAUGGCUCACCAAGCCUACGAUCGUUAACUGGUCUGAGAGGAUGAUCAGUCAGACUUGAACUGAGACACGGUCCAGACUCCUACGGGAGGCAGCAGUGAGGAAUCUUCCACAAUGGGCGAAAGCCUGAUGGAGCGACGCCGCGUGCAGGAUGAAGGCCUUCGGGUUGUAAACUGCUUUUAUAAGUGAAGAAUAUGACGGUAACUUAUGAAUAAGCACCGGCUAACUACGUGCCAGCAGCCGCAGUA
rnacentral:rRNA from 1 species